UACGUAGGGGGCAAGCGUUGUUCGGAAUUACUGGGCGUAAAGGGCGCGUAGGCGGCACGGCAAGUCGGGAGUGAAAGCCCGGGGCUCAACCCCGGAACGUCUUUCGAAACUGCCGAGCUAGAGUGCGGAAGGGGCAACUGGAAUUCCCAGUGUAGCGGUGAAAUGCGUAGAUAUUGGGAAGAACACCUGAGGCGAAGGCGGGUUGCUGGGCCGACACUGUCGCUGAGGCGCGAAAGCCAGGGGAGCGGAACGGG
rnacentral:rRNA from 1 species